rnacentral:rRNA from 1 species
GUCUUCUUGUUUUUUUAAGAAGUCAGGCCUGCCCAGUGAUGUUUUAACGGCCGCGGUAUUUUGACCGUGCAAAGGUAGCAUAAUCAUUAGUCUUUUAAUAGGAGACUGGAAUGAAAGGUUUAACGAAAAAUUAACUGUCUCACUUUUAUUCUAAAACUUAACUUUUAAGUUAAAAGGCUUGGAUGCUGUUGGGGGACGAGAAGACCCUAUAGAGCUUUACAUUUAUUUUGCUUAUAAUUUUAGGGUUAAUAAUUGAUUUUAAUUUUAAAAUUUGUUCUGUUGGGGUGACAAGAAAUAUAUAAUUAACUUUUAUUAUAAAAUUUACAUUGAUUUAUGAAUGUGUGGAUCCAUUUUUAUUGAUCAUUAGAUUAAGUUACCUUAGGGAUAACAGCGUAAUCUUCUUUGGGAGUUCAUAUUUACAAGAAGGCUUGCGACCUCGAUGUUGGAUUAAGAUUAUAAUUAGGUGCAGUAGCUUAAUAUAUAGGUCUGUUCGACCUUUAAAUUCUUACAUGAUCUGAGUUCAGACCGG